rnacentral:rRNA from 1 species
UGGGGAAUCUUGGACAAUGGGGGCAACCCUGAUCCAGCCAUGCCGCGUGAGUGAUGAAGGCCUUAGGGUCGUAAAGCUCUUUCGCCUGUGAAGAUAAUGACGGUAGCAGGUAAAGAAACCCCGGCUAACUCCGUGCCAGCAGCCGCGGUAAUACGGAGGGGGCUAGCGUUGUUCGGAAUUACUGGGCGUAAAGCGCGCGUAGGCGGACUGAUCAGUCAGGGGUGAAAUCCCGGGGCUCAACCCCGGAACUGCCUUUGAUACUGUCAGUCUUGAGUCCGGAAGAGGCGAGUGGAAUACCGAGUGUAGAGGUGAAAUUCGUAGAUAUUUGGAGGAACACCAGUGGCGAAGGCGGCUCACUGGCUCGAUACUGACGCUGAGGUGCGAAAGUGUGGGGAGCAAACAGGAUUAGAUACCCUGGUAGUCCACACCGUAAAACGAUGAAUGCCAGUCGUCGGGUAGCAUGCUAUUCGGUGACACACCUAACGGAUUAAGCAUUCCGCCUGGGAGUACGGUCGCAAGAUU